GAAGGUGCCGUCCUUCCUCCCCAGCGGCAGUGUGUGUCCCAGGGAGCAGAAGGUGCCGUCCUUCCUCCCCAGCGGCAGUGUGUCCUGCAGGAAGCGGAGACAGUCGGUCUCGCUCCCCAGCAGCAGGACAAUAUAUUAAAAGGGGAGACAGUUGGUCCCCCUCUCCAACAGCAGAGAGUGUUCCAGGGAGAGGAACCAGUUAUCACCUCUCCCCAGCAACAGGACGAAUUAUUGAAAGGGGAGACAGUCGGUCUCCCCCUUCAACAGCAGAGAGUGUGUC